rnacentral:rRNA from 1 species
UACGGAGGGGGCUAGCGUCGUUCGGAAUUACUGGGCGUAAAGGGUGCGUAGGCGGUUUAAUUAGUCAGAUGUGAAAGCCCUGGGCUCAACCCAGGAACUGCGUUUGAUACUGUUAAGCUAGAAUUCGGGGGAGGUGAGUGGAAUUCCCAGUGUAGAGGUGAAAUUCGUAGAUAUUGAGAAGAACACCGGUGGCGAAGGCGGCUCACUGGACCGACAUUGACGCUGAGGCACGAAAGCGUGGGGAGCAAACAGG